AUUCAAAACACAAAUUGGAUGGAGAAACGUGCAAACUGAGUCAAUCUGGUUAACCAGCGAUCGCUGUGUAAUUGCCGCUAAAUGAUACGAGCCUUCUAAUGAUCGAUUCACCACCGACUACAGUGAUUCCAUGUCGUGCCUGCUCCUGUCUCCAGAGACUUGGAUUAUGGGUAUCUCAGAUUUUUUUGGAACUAUUAAAGUCUCACUGCUUUCCUUCUACACCAAUCAUUUUUGCAACUUACAAUUAAACCCAUGUCACGUUUUUGAGAAUCUUAUGUGGGUUUUUGUUUUACUGUUAUUCUUGUCCUGAUCAGCAUUUUACAUUGAAAUUGGGAAGCUGUGCAGUUUUCUUUCUAGCCAUAAUUGAAUUAAUCUAGCUGCUUUUUGUUAUUGUCGGAUUGCAUUCUAUAUUUUGCUUCUUUCUGUGUGUGUGUGUGUGUUCUUGUUGGGAAAUAAAGAAGAAUUAAGCCACAUAAGAUGGGUAUGCAUGCAAAUUUGAUUGGAUUCCCUUUGCUGAUUACUUACAUAUUACUGCUGUGCAAUUUCUAUAUUUGUAUUCACGUUAAUCCUGAUUGCUGAUAUGGUAUCAUUUUCCUAAGAAGUAUGAUGAUGUGGGCUGAUGAGUUAAUGAUUCUUCACUUUACUUCUUGUUGUAAAGCAUGUCAAUUUAAGUUUUAGUAGACUAGGGAAUCGCAUGGAUUUUCCUAACAUACCCAUGGAUGGAAGAAUUUUCUGGUGUGAUUAUUUGGUUAAGACAGUCAAGGAGAAUGCUGUGAUAAUAAAUUUGACCUUUUCUGCUGAAAUUACUUUUGCUGCUAGUUAUUAUAUGCUUUGUCAAUUCAUCCAUGACCAAAGCAAAAGGGUAAGGGCUCAAGCUAGAUUCUUGUGGAGUCCAACUGCGAUUGGACUAAAUUGGAAACUCAAUUUGUUCUGUACAAGUUGAUAAAGGGGUGAAUUGAAAUCUUUCUUCGUGAGAUUUUAUUCUAAUCUCGUUCAAUUGCUCUUAUGCUCUUGGUUGAAUUGGUAACUUUAUUUACAAUGCAUACGUGGCAGGUACAUUACGUGGAAGUCUGUCAAAUGAGCUUGCAGAAAUUGAUAUUCUAAGGUUCCUACAUUAGCUUGAAAAAUGAGCAAAAACUAUAAAAUUUUUCUGGCUAGAGUGGUUUCAAUUAAAGAUGAAGUUAUCAUGCUUUUUUGGCCGUCCAACAUCAGUGAUGCAGGAUCUUCUAGAGAUUUUAGAACUACCUAAUUUAGGAAGAAAUAUAGUAAGUAGUAUUUUAUCUUAUUGAGGAAGUUUGAAUUGGUUUGAGAUUUCUAAUUUGUAUUUGAAUAGUAUUUUCUUGUUUGAGAUUCCAAAUCCUACUACUAGGAUUAUAAAUACUACCAUAAAUACCUAUGCCUUCUAGAUAUUUUGGUAAAGCUUUUUAUAUUAUUAUUGACAAUUUGAGAAUUGAUUUUGAGAAUUAAUACGAGUUUUGAGAAUUGUUUCUCAUCCCCUUUUGUGUAUUCUAUUUGUUCCACAUCAACUAGCUUUUAGAAUACACUUUUUAUCUUUUUUUUUUUCUUUCGGUUUACUUGCAUUCCUUACUGCAUAUAUGUGAAAAGUGGCAAAGUGCAGUAGUGCACUUAACCUUUUCUAUGGAUGACCACUGCUAUUCAUUCUUUCUCUCCCUUUUUAAUAUUUGACGUGUUCUUCUCUUUCCACCUCAGUCUUAAAAGGGUUUUUAUAUAUGUAUAAAGUAUGAUUAUUGAUUGAGAACCCAUACAGAUGCUGUACGAUGGAUGAAGUAAGCAGGUGCUUCAAUAGCAUUUCAUGAUCACAAGUGCCUAGGAGGCGGCAAUACAUCCUCAAAUAUUUUGGGCAAUGGUCUUUGUGAGAGCAAGGCCUCUGAGUUUGCUUAUCUCAAAUGGUCAAACUUUGUUUGCGCUGUGCCAUCUUGCAAGUGAGCAUCUAAGAUAAAUGAUUCAAUUCAUCAUGUUUAAUCCAUCAAGUGUUUAGGCUUCUGCCUAUGUUUUUCUUUCCAUUCUAACAGAAAGCUUAUACAAAUUGUCAAUUGUGUGUGAACAUUGGAGUUGAUUAAAUAGCAUAAACUUGAAAACCUAUGUUUUAGAAUUGAGUGCUACUGGUUGUCCAAUAAAACAAGAGCCUUUUAGAAAAUAUCUGAUCCAAUUGUUCCUAUAUUUUCUAUUUAGAUUUAUUUUUGAAUUAUGAAUCUUAGUUGGUAUAAGUGAAGGAAGUAUAAAGAUGCUUAACAAAUAACUGAGCAGAAUUUCUGAAUUUGAUACUUUGAGGACCCCAGGAUUGGCUCGGAGCUUGAGGAAAGGUAAGCUUGACAAGGCAUGGAUGAUAUUUAGAGCAACAACAUGGAAUCAAGCAUUUGAGCUGUCUGACACGUAGCCUUCUGAUUCUCUCCACUUUCUAUGGCUGAACUUUGUUCUCUCUUAUCUUUUUACUCCCUAAAAGUGCUAAUCCACUUUCCUCAAAACUAUACUACUGCUACUGCACUCUAG
rnacentral:misc_RNA from 1 species